UCAGAUCCAAAUUGAUUAAUUAGUGUCAGCCAUAACGUUUAUAUUAUCACACUUCACCUGAAAAAGUAUGUAUUGAAAGCCAAACAUCUUUUGGUCAUAAAUAUUUUUUAUUUUCCUCUGUGUAGAUCAAAUGCAAUCUCUCCUGCAGCUAUCGCUAUUGUAUGAACACGAUGUAAAACAAUCCCUCUUGUUAUUACGUUCUUUCGGUUGUUCUCUCUUUCGACCUAUAAGUCCAAUAAGCGCGUCUGUUGUGUCUGAACACUGCUGGAGACACAACUGUAGAAAAAAUGAACAUUGUGAGCAUGUCCUGGUGCUACUGGCUAUACUUGCAUUAAGUAUGAUGAAUACAAAUAUCAUAGGCAUAUAAUGCUUCAUUUUUGUAGAUCCUGUAAUAAAAUCAAAGAAUUAUUCGAGAUACUUUUGUAGGUUCUGUAAUAAAAGCAAAGAAUUAUUCGAAAUACUUAUUUAUUGUAUUUACCACAACUUUAAACACUUUUGGCUACAUCAAGACAGUCAGUUUUAUUGGUGAAGG
rnacentral:lncRNA from 1 species